rnacentral:rRNA from 1 species
UACGUAGGGUGCAAGCGUUAAUCGGAAUUACUGGGCGUAAAGCGUGCGCAGGCGGUUCGCUAAGGCAGAUGUGAAAUCCCCGGGCUUAACCUGGGAACUGCAUUUGUGACUGGCGGGCUAGAGGAUGGCAGAGGGGGGUAGAAUUCCACGUGUAGCAGUGAAAUGCGUAGAUAUCUGGAGGAACACCGGUGGCGAAGGCGGCAUCCUGGACCGGUAUUGACGCUGAGGAGCGAAAGCCAGGGGAGCAAACGGG